GGUAGUUAGAAUAAAAUAAAGUGGCCCAUCAAGUAUUCAGCCCAAGUUUAUUACCACAGUGGACUCGGGUUAUAAUUACCAACAGAGGAGAGAAUAACUAUAAGUUAUUUUGAUGUAAAAAGCAUAUUAUCCUAAGCCAACAUAAUAACACAGUUUUUAUGAAGCACAAUAAUUACACUGAAGACUCACAGAAGUGCAUUUUUCUAAAAGAAGGAGAUUCUCAUACAGAAACAGAUUAACAGAAACAGAAACAGCAACACUAGAGAACAGCAAAAUAGUAACAUUUCAAGAAAAUAUAUACACCUUCACAGUAUGUGAUGGUAUCCACUUACUGUCUACUGCCUCCAUAACUCCUAAAGUCUUCUGAAGAUUUAUUAAUGCUUUGAAUAUAUGAGCCACCGUUUCUUUUCACAGCCUUUUCACAACUGGGAAUUCUUUAGAGAAAGGCAAUCUUACUUCAUUUACUUACUUCAUCAGUAAUGCCAUUACUAUGCCUACUUAAGAAGAAAAUAUAUCAUGUGGCAGAGGACUAGAAAGAAAAAACAACAACAAAAGGCUGUGAAGAUUUGAUCAUAUGCCUACGUGUGUGGUGAAUACAAUAUUUCUUUAAUCGCAAUCAGGAAUAUAAAUCUUAUUUUGAUGCUAUGACAUAAUAAAGUGCAUUAUUUUCCUGAAAUUUUCCUCUUAUCUCUGUUUUAUAUUUGCAUAAAUAAUCCA
rnacentral:lncRNA from 1 species